AAAGAAUUAAACAGAAAAAAAAUGGGAACCGGGACUCGUUGUUGUUUAUAUUGUGAUAAUCUUCUUUGUUGGUGUUGGUUU